CUUGGAAUCUCACCUCGUUCGUCGAUUCCUUCGUUGUCCAUCAUCUCUGUUAUGAGGAUUUAAUUUUCGUUGUUUUAAUGAGGGUUUGUUGCUUAAUGUAUUGGAUCUCUUUCGGACGAUCAUCUCAUUUCAACAUCGCCCUAGUUGUUGUUUUAUGUUAGUGCUAUCGUUUAAUGGGUUGUUUUUGCUGUAUGAUCUUGAAUGGAUGAGCCGGGUUACUAUUGUCCAGUUGUUGAGGGUAUAGUUUAUUCUCGUUCUCUUUUUCUUUGUUUGCUUCGUGAAUUCUAGUUUUGACGAUGAUAUUUAAGGUACAAAAUGCGCCUGCUAUGAAUUUAUGAUCAAGUUGUUUGUUCGUGAAAUUCGAUUUAAGUUCUGCGUGAUUUUAUACGAAAUUUCUUUUCGCUGUCUACAUGUUCUCCAUUGGUUGGAUUCACAAGAAAACCUAAUUCGACAGGGAUAGUCAAGUUGUUGUUUCGUAUGCGUGGUUUUGGUUGAUUUCUAAUGCCCUCGGUGACGUUCAUGCUUUGCCUAAUUGUUCUUGUUAGUUGCCAUUUGUUACAGUUUUUGAAGCCGUAGAAUAUGUUGACAACGACUCAAUAUAAUACUCAACUUUAUGGCUCAUUUUGAAGAUUUGGCAGUCUUUGUGCUCGAUCAUAGAUCAUGCAUACGACUGGCGGUGCGUGUCCAAGAGCAGCUGUAGUAUCAUGUGAAGGAAUUCAGCAAUGUCAUCAUUAUAUGUAGUUUCUUUGGGGAACUUAAGACUCUCAAGAUCAUCAUUCAAUUCCUUCAUCAGUGCAUCCAGGUAUCUAGCUUCCCCUGUUGCAUGAGGCCUUGUCAUGGCACAGCCUGGUUGCUGGUUUGUAGAACACCAACUGGAAUAUCAAUUUUGAAAAUUUCUUGUGCUGUGUUGCGGAAAUGCUGAUUGUUAAUCAGAAGUUGCAUGAGGAAAUGUUCAUCCUUGGUUGUGGUUCUGAAUCUACACUGAUGGAAGCUUCUUGCUCUGGUAAAGCCUCAAAAGCUGAUUUUAUUAUGUCAUGAUCCUGGGAGAAAAAUGUAUGAGAUGCUAGCAGGCCAAUAAACAGAAUAUAGUGCAAAAGCUUCAUGGAGUUGUGUCCUGGCCAUAAUGAGGGCAAAAAAGAGAUAUUUUCAUCGCUCAGAGUCAAUGCAGAUCGACUUUGUUGCUUCAAUGAUUGGAGAGAGGAUAACUUACAUUGGUCUCCGCAACUGUCUCCUCUUCUAAUACUUCUUUGUCUUCGCCAGCAUCAACUGAAGAAUUAUCUGACACCAAGUUGGAAAAUUUACAGGCUUCAUCAAUGUUUUCACCAGAAUUUGAGGCAGCUCUUUAUCAGUUCUUGAAUAUCUCUGUCACCUUCUUGGUUUGAUUUGCUGAUAAGCUGGCGAACUGAUUCAGAUAUGUUUCUUCUCUCUUCUUCUUUUUCUGCCUUUUCUCUCAGUUGUACCAAAUUCUUCUUGGCUAUCCCUUCUUUUAAACUGUGGUUUAUAUCGAUGUUCACGAUCUUCCUAUUGAUUUCAAGAUGCCUCUUUGGUGCAUGAUUUGACAAUGGAGUCAUGUUCCGUAUAUAAUUUGUCUUCUCCUUGCUGCUUUUGUCCUUAGUUUCGUCAAUGCCGUUUUCAUUCAGAAUCUUGUUCUCUUUUCUCACUUUUUCAUCUGCUAUUGACGUCUGACCUAUCACCAUCUCUUUCUUAGACUUCGGUUCUUUCUUUCCUUCAACUUUUUUCCCCUCAGCCUUGGGCAUCGGAAGUUCUUCAAGGCCCAUAAGUUUAGCAACAAUAUUUGGCAUUCUUACACUGCUGCUCACCAGGCUUUUAGGAUCCAACUGCUUGGUGUUCUUUGAAGCAGAGAACUUGCCACUACCAGUUGAGAAGUUUCCAGGUUCACCACCAUGGCCUUGUUUGUGUGUAAUGCCUGAAUACAAGGAAUUAGGCAGCGAUCCAGGACCACAACUCAGAGACUGUUUGUGUGUAGCGACUUGCGUUGAUGCAUCUAAUGAACUCUGACUAUAAUUUGUUUUGGCUAUGCUUUUUUUCAUAGAAGAUGAUGGCGUUUUUCUCUGCCCUUGAAUUCUGGUAUCAUCAUUUGCUUUGGUGAAUUUGUAGAAAUGGUUGAUGGACCCAUCAAAAGAAAUUCUGGGCUUGUACAUUAGAGCCUUCCGAUUGUCUUUGACGUCAGAUGUUUCAUCGUCUUCCACACCCUCGAGCAAUUUGAUCUGCCUCCCUUGAGAGCCAACCAUGUAAUCUGAAGCCUCCUGCAGGGUGGCAAGCAUUUUCAAUGACUCUUCCAAAUCUAUGGCCCCUUUCAACAAUUCUCUUCCAAUCUGAAUUGAAUCCUUUCCAAAAUUUGUCCUAUCGGAGAAGGUUUCGAGGAUCUUAUUCAAUUUCUGAACACCUUUUGAUAUUUCACCGACUUGCAAGUUGGAUAAAAAAGGAUAUCGAUCGGCAUGAUGUUUCGUGCUGUAUAACAAGUGUUGAUUUGCAGUUCCUGCAUAAUAUAUAGAUCCACUAUGUGGAAUGAGCUCGUUACCAAAUUUAGCUAUGUAAUGAAGUUUUCCACUAUUACUGAGUGCCAGUGCUAGUGCCAUUGACACAUCGACAGAAUUCUGAAUGCUUGUGGCUCUUCCAACAGGAACAAUCUCCCGUGAAGCAACUUGAGGAGCAGCUGUUUUGUUAUGUUUGGUGCUGAACCAUAUUUCCGUCACUUGUGCGCUGACCGGAUUGUUGCUGCUCUGCAAACUCUCCCAACAAGAACAAAAAUAACAUCACUGAAUGGUGCAUACAGCCGAACAUAUUCCAUUAUUUAAAAAGUUGUGUUUAAGGAACUUGCAUAGUUCUUCUUCUUCUUCAUUACGUCUCCUGUUCCUCUGGACGACCGUCGGGAGCUGACAUGAUACUCUACAAUAUUAUUCAAAGAAGAUGAUUAACAUGUCGAGCAUAUAAUUCUCAAGCCAGGGAUAUAUAGGAUAUCUUUUAAAAAUAUCAUCUUUGUGUUAUUAUGCCGGAAAUGGCACUGAUAUGCAUUUCUUGUUGCAAAGGCUGCUGCAUCUAUGCCCAAAAUAUGGAAUGAAACAGCGAAGAUGCAGAAUUAUUUCAAGCAUAGAACAAGCUCGUCUGAUGAAGGGAUCUUAGGUCCUCCUAAGAGUUCUGUUCAGAAGACCUUGUUUCAGAGUAUCUUGUUCAAACGGAUCAUGGAGGAAGCUGUCUGUCUACCCCAUUCACCGAAUAAGCAGGUGGCUGCGCCGGUUGCUGUCCCGAUGACGAUGCAACAUAUCCCAGCUUCUCCUUCCUCCUCCUGAUGUCAUCCAACAGCUUCUGUGCAAAAUCCGGUCGCUUCGCCAUAGACACACUCUUCUUCUUUCUCCUGUUAACCUUGUCGCCGCACCGUGGAGUUCUCCAUGGCCUUCACCUUGAGAUAUCCGGUGGAGAUCAGCGUGAUGGUUAUUUGUUUCACCGACGCAGAUUCUGCAGCUGCUGCAUGAGUGCGUCCGCGUCUGCCUUGGCUCCAUUCCAAGCAAAGCAAGAGGCCUUCUCCUUGCGGAAGACUUCUUCCCAAGCUUGCACGCAAAGCUUCUUCGGCUGAGGAAGUGGGAGGUCUUGUAAGAGGUGGUGUGUCGUCGCAUGGGCGGUGAAAUGCCGGUGUCGAUGUUACGUCUCCUCCUUUUUUUUGUUUUAGCAGCCAAAAACCCUCAUGGAUUGUGUUGAUCCAUCUAUUGGAGCCAUGACAUCUUUUAGCUUUGAAGGAUUCAUCCCAACCACCGUUUCGACUAAUCUGAUGGACUUUACCUCGAAGAUCUCGAUUCUUUAUCUGUAGUAUGAAUUGUUAAAGUUAUGGCAAUGGGGCCAAACACCAUAGUAGUAGGAUGAGGACACUGAAAAGUACAGUUUACCUGUUCUGAUGAGUUGGAUAGAAUUAGAGAGAUUUCUUUA